rnacentral:rRNA from 1 species
UACGUAGGGUGCGAGCGUUGUCCGGAAUUAUUGGGCGUAAAGAGCUUGUAGGCGGUCUGUCGCGUCUGCUGUGAAAAUCCGGGGGCUCAACCCCGGACUUGCGGUGGGUACGGGCAGACUAGAGUGUGGUAGGGGAGACUGGAAUUCCUGGUGUAGCGGUGAAAUGCGCAGAUAUCAGGAGGAACACCGAUGGCGAAGGCAGGUCUCUGGGCCACUACUGACGCUGAGAAGCGAAAGCGUGGGGGAGCGAACAGG